rnacentral:rRNA from 1 species
GGGUCAGUAGGUUGGUCGUGCCACCGGUACGUACUGGUCUCACUGAUCCCUCCUUCCUGAAGAACCGUAAUGCCAUUAAUUUGGUGUUGCGGGGAAACAGGACUGUUACCUUGAAAAAAUUAGAGUGUUUAAAGCAAGCUAACGCUUGAAUACAUUAGCAUGGAAUAAUGAAAUAGGACGAUCGAUCCUAUUUUGUUGGUUUCUAGGAUUGACGUA